ACACCUCAACUCUCAUGGUUUGCCAUGAUGAGCUUGGACUUUGGGGGUCUUGCUGGCUUAUGGUCAGCUCCUCUUAAACGAAUCAGCUUGCCAGUGUUUGGUGGCAUCGCAGGUGUGAUAACUAUCUACGCUUGUGGUUUUCCAUCAGGUAACCUUCAGUGAUGGAGGUUCGCUGGGGCUCAUAAAGGUCUCUCCUCAGCGAGGACAGCUUUUUGAAC
rnacentral:misc_RNA from 1 species